rnacentral:tRNA from 1 species
CUGCUAUGGUGUAAAUUAGCACGGUAUCUUUUCAUGAUACAAGUGUAUAAGUACUACCAGU